GACGGAGGAGGCAAGCAUUGUCCGGAAUUAUUGGGCGUAAAGAACACGUAGGCGGUUUGUCAAGUCAUAUGUGAAAACCUUGGGCUUAACUUAAGGAUUGCAUAUGAUACUGGCAAACUAGAGUAUAGUAGAGGAAAGCGGAAUUCCUCGUGUAGCGGUGAAAUGCGCAGAUAUCAGGAAGAACACCAGUGGCGAAAGCGGCUUUCUGGACUGUUACUGACGCUGAGGUGUGAAAGCUAGGGGAGGCGAACAGGAUUAGAUA
rnacentral:rRNA from 1 species